rnacentral:rRNA from 1 species
GCCAGACUCCUACGGGAGGCAGCAGUGAGGAAUAUUGGUCAAUGGGCGGAAGCCUGAACCAGCCAAGUCGCGUGAGGGAAGAAGGCCCUGCGGGUCGCAGACCUCUUUGGACGGGGAGCAAGGCCGCCGACGUGUCGGCGGAAGGAGAGUACCCGUAGAACAAGCAUCGGCUAACUCCGUGCCAGCAGCCGCGGUAAUACGGAGGAUGCGAGCGUUAUCCGGAUUUAUUGGGUUUAAAGGGUGCGCGGGCGGCCGGGCAAGCCGGCGGUCAAAUCGCGGGGCUCAACCCCGCCCAGCCGUCGGAACUGCCGGGCUAGAGUGGGCGAGAAGUAUGCGGAAUGCGCGGUGUAGCGGUGAAAUGCAUAGAUAUCGCGCAGAACUCCGAUUGCGAAGGCAGCAUGCCGGCUCCACACUGACGCUGAGGCACGAAAGCGUGGGUAUCGAACAGGAUUAGAUACCCGAGUACA